rnacentral:lncRNA from 1 species
ACUCAAAAUUCUAUGGGCUUGGUCAGACUCCCUCGCUUGUAUCUUUACUGAGGGAGACUUAGUGCAUUUGUCUUCUUGGCAUCACAAACUCUGAUACAGGACAAAGUGCUCUGUGUGAUAGGGCACCAUGAGAUUCUGCUGCCAGGCCACCAUACAUUGCUCAUUCACUGACCAACAACUUCAUUAAAGCAGCUGGGAUUUGGAAAACUGAAGAUGAAUCUGCUUGAACAAGCAUAGUUCUGAAGCCACCAAAGUCCAACCUCUUAAGUACGUAAAUGGAACAUAAUUGAAAGCAUGGAAUUUUGAAAAGAUGAUACAGUGGAGCAUGGAGCAUGGGCAAGGUUUCAGAAACCUCAUCAUGCAUCUCCCAGAGUGUGGAAGCCAAUGAAAUCACAAAGAAUGGCGCUAGAGUCUUGCCCAGAGAAUUCCAAAAGUGGCAGAGAUUGGAGACCCUGCAGUAGUGGAUGCAGAGCCAGGGAAGUAGUGGUGCAUCCUGGACUCAACAGUGU